ACUAAUUAAGAUUAUUUAGAUCGACAAUAAUGAUUGAAUUGUUACAGUAACAAAACAACUAAUAACAAGGAAUUAAGAAUAAAAGUGUAAAGUUUGUGGUCAAACAAGAAAAGCUUAGAGUCACGGCUUCACUUGUAACUUUGAUUACCCCCGAUUCUAGUUAUAUUCGAAUUCAUUUAUUUUGAUUCAAUUACCGGUCCCAUUACAAAAGCUAUUAAUUCCUCAAAAUAUCUAACUAGAAACGCAACAUCUUAAUUAGAAAUAAACGUUUAGCGAAACCUAUCCAACCUAUUUCUGUCUUUUCGAGUUGAAUGAAAAUGUUUAUGAAAAUGAUGAAAAAUGUAGUUCUUACCCCUUCCAUACCUUCAACCCUCACACCAUCCACCUCAAUAUAAAGAAUCAAAUUUCUUCUCCUCGUAUCAGCCCCGACUCCAUGAAAAUAUUUAGAAAUAACGUCUCCGAUUUUCAACCAAAUAACCAUUAAUUUAUGCCAUUGAAUUAUAUGAUCAAUCUGAGACAAAGACAUCAACUACAAGGAGAUAAAGUGCUUUUCAACAAUAUUUACACCAUAUGGGAGACCAUUCUCACCUUUGAGAUCCAAUCUAUUCACAUCAUCCUUCAACACCUUAAUUUUAACCAUCCAAAUUACAAUUACGUUUCUAAUGCCACUCAUUCAAAGAUAAUUUAAUGCCUUUUAAUUUUUUUUUCAUAAUAAAAGCACCCACCCAACAAAAGUCAUACUUUUCCAUUGAUGUUGAACAAACUCAAGGUAUUCCUAAAUACACUAAAGUUAUCAAAGUCACCAACCACCAAAGUUAGAGAAUCCAUUUUCAUCUCAACAUUAUCUUUUAAAAUAACUCAAUUCCUUCGAUCCCGCUACUCAAAGAAUAAGUUGACAUAUAAAUUACUUGAUUGUGAAAUUUCCAAUGACAUGCUUUUCAAACUCGCUUCUUCUUUCCUAUCGUUGAGUAUAAUUUUCCUUUGAGAUCUUUAUCUGACAGUCUUGCAAUAUUCUUCAACUUUACAAUUUUUCUUUUGCAUCUAUUCACAUUUGGAAGUUGAAUGGUUGAUUCGUCACAAAUAUUCUCAAGCAUUGGAUUGGCAAACUUUUUAUGUAUUGCUUCUGAUAACUCCCCCUUUUCUUGACUUGAGGUGAGGAACAAACCUCUUUAACACAAUUUUCACUCCCAAACUUCUACUGAACACAAGUACUAGGUCUCUCCACAUGAUUACUUUUAACCAUCUCAAUAUUAAAAAAUGUAGUUUCCUCCUCAUUUGGUUUGUCUAACACUUCAAACCCACAAUCUAAAUUAAUCAAAUGUUGUUGCUCUAUUAGGCCAAUUGUAACACAUAGUAAGCAGAGUAUAACAACUGUGGUAAUAAUGAAAAAGUUUUCAUAUUAUAUAAGAGAAUAAAAUACUAUAAUAAAUAAUAAAUUGUC
rnacentral:lncRNA from 1 species